rnacentral:rRNA from 1 species
UACGAAGGGGCUAGCGUUGCUCGGAAUGACUGGGCGUAAAGGGCGCGUAGGCGGCUUGCACCGUCAGAUGUGAAAUUCCUGGGCUUAACCUGGGGGCUGCAUUUGAUACGUGUGGGCUUGAGUGCGGAAGAGGGUCGUGGAAUUCCCAGUGUAGAGGUGAAAUUCGUAGAUAUUGGGAAGAACACCGGUGGCGAAGGCGGCGACCUGGUCCGUGACUGACGCUGAGGCGCGAAAGCGUGGGGAGCGAACAGG